CCCUUAGAUGUUCUGGGCCGCACGCGUGCUACACUGAGUAAUUCAAUGGGUAAGGGAACGCUAGAGCAUUACCUAAUCUUGAAAUUUGCUCGUGAUGGGGAUCGACGGUUGCAAUUUUCCGUCGUGAACGAGGAAUACCUUGUAGGCGCAUGUCAUCAUCAUGCGCCGAAUACGUCCCUGCCCUUUGUACACACCGCCCGUCGCUCCUACCGAUUGAAGUUUUCGGUGAGCUUGCAGGAGGAAUUUUUUGAAACUGGUUCGCUAGUGGAUUUUUAUUCCAAAUGCUAACGAAUCGAUGGCUUUAGAGGAAGGAGAAGUCGUAACA
rnacentral:rRNA from 1 species